AUUGCCUUAGUAACGGCGAGUGAAGCGGCAACAGCUCAAAUUUGAAAGCUGGCUCCUUCGGAGUCCGCGUUGUAAUUUGUAGAGGAUGAUUCGGCGAGGGCUCCCGCCUAAGUCCCCUGGAACGGGGCGUCAUAGAGGGUGAGAAUCCCGUAUGCGGUGGGUUGCCUUAGCCAUGUGAAUCUCCUUCGACGAGUCGAGUUGUUUGGGAAUGCAGCUCUAAAUGGGAGGUAAAUUUCUUCUAAAGCUAAAUACCGGCCAGAGACCGAUAGCGCACAAGUAGAGUGAUCGAAAGAUGAAAAGCACUUUGGAAAGAGAGUUAAAAAGUACGUGAAAUUGUUGAAAGGGAAGCGCUUGCAGCCAGACUUGUCCGCAGUUGCUCAACCGGUCUCCUGACCGGUGUACUCUUCUGCGGCCAGGCCAGCAUCAGUUCGGGCGGUCGGAUAAAGGCCCUGGGAAUGUAGCUCCUCUCGGGGAGUGUUAUAGCCCAGGGUGGAAUGCGGCCAGCCUGGACUGAGGAUCUCGCUUCGGCUAGGAUGCUGGCGUAAUGGCUGUAAGCGGCCCGUCUUGAAACACGGACCAAGGAGUCUAACAUCUAUGCGAGUGUUUGGGUGUCAAACCCAUGCGCGUAAUGAAAGUGAACGGAGGUGGGAACCCUCACGGGUGCACCAUCGACCGAUCCUGAUGUCUUCGGAUGGAUUUGAGUAAGAGCAUAGCUGUUGGGACCCGAAAGAUGGUGAACUAUGCCUGAAUAGGGUGAAGCCAGAGGAAACUCUGGUGGAGGCUCGCAGCGGUUCUGACGUGCAAAUCGAUCGUCAAAUUUGGGUAUAGGGGCGAAAGACUAAU
rnacentral:rRNA from 1 species